rnacentral:rRNA from 1 species
UACGUAGGGGGCGAGCGUUGUCCGGAUUUAUUGGGCGUAAAGAGCUCGUAGGCGGUUCGGUAAGUCGAAUGUGAAAUCUCCACGCUCAACGUGGAGGGGUCAUUCGAAACUGCCGUGACUUGAGUACGGUAGGGGAGUGUGGAAUUCCCGGUGUAGCGGUGAAAUGCGCAGAGAUCGGGAGGAACACCCGUGGCGAAGGCGGCACUCUGGGCCGAUACUGACGCUGAGGAGCGAAAGCGUGGGGAGCAAACAGG